GAUGAAGAACGUAGCGAAAUGCGAUAACUAAUGUGAAUUGCAGAAUUCCGUGAAUCAUCGAGUCUUUGAACGCACAUUGCGCCCCCUGGUAUUCCGGGGGGCAUGCCUGUCCGAGCGUCAUUGCUGCCCAUCAAGCACGGCUUGUGUGUUGGGUCCUCGUCCCCCCCGGGGGACGUGCCCGAAAGGCAGCGGCGGCACCGCGUCCGGUCCUCGAGCGUAUGGGGCUUUGUCACCCGCUCUGCAGGCCCGGCCGGCGCUGGCAGACGCGAAAGCAACCAUUUUUUCUCCAGGUUGACCUCGGAUCAGGUAGGGAUACCCGCUGAACUUAAGCAUAUCAAUAAGCGGAGGA
rnacentral:misc_RNA from 1 species